AGGAGUACGAAACAGACGACGACGGUUUAAUCUCUGCAUUGUGUCGUUUAACCCAUCUUCCGUAACGCAUCCGUACGACUUUGGGCGUUAGGCACAAAACCCCGUUUCACCGACCAAUCACGUUCGUUCCAACCUACCGACGCUCGCGUGAAUCCUUUUUCGUUUUCGGGUAUCGAAAACGAAGAAGAAGCAUAGAGAACCAAAACGCGACGCAAUUGCACUUUUUCUUCUUCUUUCGCAGCUCAGAAUCGCUCAAACAAUGACAGAGGAUAGCAGCGUUAGGGUUUCUUCUUCCGACAAAACCUCCGCGGCCAACGAUGCUUCGCAGACGCGGCAGAGAAAGAAGAGAAAGUGGGAUCAACCGGCGGAGUCAUUGAUGCCAGUUGGGAUGGCAGUUCCUGGAGCACUCCCUUUGAGCAAUGCCGUGUCUCUUGGAGGGGUUGCAUUUCCUGCCAUGGCUCCGAUGAUCUCCGGAGCUCUUUUGAGGAAUCCUCUGGCAGCUUCUUCUCAGCUUCCGCAACACACAGUUGCAGCUGCUGUUGCCGCACAAAAAUUGAAUCAACAAAAGAUCCAAGAUGAAUUAAUAAUUGCUCGAGAAAUUGUCAUAAAUGAUGCAGAGUCUUCUGUUCGCUACAAGUUGACAAAACGCCAGACACAAGAGGAGAUCCAGAGGUGCACUGGUGCCAUAGUUAUAACUAGGGGGAAGUAUCGGCUACCUAAUGCGCCACAUGAUGGAGGGAAGCCGCUGUAUCUUCACAUCUCUGCAGGAGCUCAUAUAAAAGAGACAGCAGAACGGAUUUUAGCUGUUGAUCGUGCUGCUGCAAUGAUUGAAGAAAUGCUCAAACAGGAGCAAAAUUCACAGUCAAUUUCUUCCGCCUCACCUUCUGCUUUGGUUAAUAUACUGAAGAUGCUGAGUACAUGCGUGUUUUUGGGCUUUGAUGCUGAUCCUUCUUUGAACAUUGUUGCUCGUAUACGUGGACCAAAUGACCAGUAUAUAAAUCACAUUAUGAAUGAAACAGGAGCAACAGUUGUACUGAGAGGACGUGGUUCAGGAAACAAUGAAUGCUUGAAUGGAGAAGAUGGACAGCAGCCCCUGCAUCUGUUUUUGUCUAGUAACAAUGCGAAAAGUCUUGAAGAUGCUAAGCUUUUGGCUGAAAAUCUUUUGGAUACAAUCUGUACGGAGUGUGGUGCUUUAAGGGUUUCAUCAUGUAAGGUUUAUAGUGCUGUUCCACCUCCACAGCAGGUAUACACUGCUGUUCCACCUCCCCAGCAGGUUUAUAGCGGCCCUUCUUUGUUGAAGCAGAUUCCUACUGCCAUUUCACCCCCACAACAAGUUUAUAGCGCUGUUCCACCCCCACAGCAGUUGUUGACUGGAGUUCAGAGUUCUGGAAUUGACCUAGAGGCAGGUACUAGCCUAACCUCUAGUUCAAUGUCAGCAGCUGGGGUCUUGACACCGGUUCCUCCAGCUUCCUUGGUUGGAGUGACUGGUGUCACUGGUUCCCUCACUUUAGGGACUCCACCACAAUCUAUAGGACAUUUAAGCUCUGGGCCUCAAGCAAACAUGAUUGGUUAUACUCCUCCCCCUUUAGUAUCAGGUGGUACUAGCUAUAUUGGAUAUGGCGGAUUAUAUCCUCAAGCUACCCCUUUGCAACAAGUUGCCCUUGCCUUGAGACACUCACCUCCUGUCACAUCUACAGAUGCUCCCACAACAUCAGCAUCAAAUGGAGAAUCCAGGCCAACCUCAAGCUCUGAUCUUGAAAAGGAGAAACGGCCGCCUCAGAGACGAAAAUUUCAAGAAUUGCCAGUUGGUUCAAAAGGCACAACAAAACUCAAUCAGGUAUUUUCUCUGACCUUCUAUGAAGCUAAAAGCCUGACACUGGACCUGUCUGUUGGGCCAUUGGUUUGUAUGUUUGACAGGGUUUUCAGUUUUGGAGGAGUAGGAGGGUGCUUGUGGCUUCACAGCAUAUGCCCUGUCCAAUCCAAGAUGUUAUUCUGAUAUUUUCUUUCAUUGGUAAAAUUGCUGCAAUAUAUUUUGUGGCAUGCUUUUCAGCCAUGCCCUCCUCUAGUCCUGCAUAUAUGGACUGUCAAUUUCCUGAAGAAAAGGGUUUACCAUACCAGCACCAAAUUGAUGCCAAUUCGUUAAAUUGAAAAAAAGACAGUUAGAGAUAGGAGAAAAUAUAAAACUAGAACAUGAGAUAUCAUAGCAAGGUAUAAUAAAAAAGGAAAAAAUAAAAAUUGUUUGUAUGGGCAAAGUAAAUUAAAAAAGCUCUUUCCCUUGAUUGGUUAUCCUUUGAAGAGACACUCUUAGAACAUCUUACACCACCAUUAAUUCUUUUAUGCUACCAAUCAACCCAUUGCUCACUAAAAUAUCCAGUUGUGUGCAAGAUUUUUUAUCAUGAUAUUUUACAUCAAUGCUACAUUUGGUAUUGCUUUUAUCAUUUGCAGUUCAGUCUUAAUUUGACUUUGUAGUUUGGCAUGUUGGAACAAUUAGUAAAGUAUCUGAUUCAAAAGUUGUGUUUGGGUUUUUGUUUUCUCCCACUCUAACUCAAUUGCAGGGAUUGCAACCUCUAAAACCUUAUGAACAAUCUGACGGUCUGGUUGUGAGGAAUAUAUUAACAAUGCCUGCCCCUAAGAAGUUGGUCCCGCCAUCAUCCAAUGGAAUGCCACCUCCUCUACUGAGAACCAUGCCCCCACCACCUCCGCCUAAAUUUUCUGAUCCAUUUGAAGUUAAAGUACACAACAAGAACAAGACUUUGCUUAAGACAAAAUCUGAUGCAGUUCCUGAUACAUUGGUCAACCUAAUGGAAUAUGGAGAGGAGGAUGAUGAUGAUAUAGACGAUUCUAGUGAGGAAUCACUUCCUCAUGACACCCGAGCAACUGGGGUUCAAAAGCCUUUCUGGGCUUUAUGAGCUACAAAGUGCAUAUUGGACGUAGAUAUGUAAAUAUUUAUUUUUUGGGUUGGAACUAGUUCUUGCUGGUUACAUACUCUUCUUCCCCGGGGUGGAAUGGGAAGCCCUUAGCAUGAUUUUUGGAGUGAAAUAGUUGGUUUAGUAGCAUUUUAAAGGUUGUAAUUGCUCAUUCUCAUAUGCUUCGCGAGAGUAGAUUUGUAUGUUGUAAUUUUUUGUCCCUAUUUGAGUAUGCAUGUACACUGGUAGUCUCUUUUCAGUGGUUUAGUAGGCCGCUAAAGUAACGAUGCUGUGAUAAGGAACUGUUUUUUCCUUCUUCCCCCCAUUUUUAUAGUCAGAACCCUGUUAAUUGUUCAUCCUGGGCCCCUGGCUGAGUGAAACUAAGCUUCCAUGUUAGAUUGAACAAGCAAUUGCAAAGCUUGUAUUAUUAUUAUUAUUAUUAUUAUUAUUUUUUACGUGGGUUA